GUUUGUUUUUAAUAAAUAAAAAUAUAAGAUAUCCCCCGAAAAUAAGCCCUAGUGUUAUUUUUCGGAAGAAAAUUGAAAUGAGACCCAGUCUUAUUUUUGGGGAAACAUGGUAUAUCUGUAUAUGGAGCCAUACUUGAUUUCUGUUAUGGAGAUGAUUUUGUAUUUUUUUUUUUUCAUGGUUUUCAACAGGUUAGUAAAGAUCUUCAAGUUACAGGUAACCAUAAUAGUAUGAAAUCAUGUUUGACUGUCUGAAAAGUAAAUACUUUGAAAAUGGUUGACGGGAAGUGCAGUUUAAAAAGUGGAUUCAUACAGCGAGGUGAUUCGGGGACGCAAUGUCUGAAUGUUGUCGGAAGUGGAAUAGUCAUAGUUUUUAUUUCUUAUAACAGGGUUUGUAAAAUUGAUAAUGAAAACAGGAAUCAAGCGAAAAAGUUUUUCCGAGAACUAUAUUCCGAACGAGAUUCCACUACAAAGAUUAAAUACUAAAAUAGAUGGAAUAGUAUAAUGGUGCUCACGUCGUAACGACAUGCAAACAGGUGUCGCAGUUUCCAUGUUAUUGAUUUUGCUUCUCCAAAACAUCGCGUACAUAAAACAAUAGAAUGACGUGGAAUUGGCAAGUGUAGUAUUAUGAUUGCUCGAAGAUUUAUUCAGAUUCUACGUACCUCAAUCUUGGAGAGAAGAAAUUAUAUCAUGGUGUCUGCUAUGAUGACAACAAUACGGACUCUAUAUAAUUUUGGUUUUAUAUUGUGUAGGAGAUACUCAACCUUACCAGUGUGGUUGCUAAAAACAAAUUUGAAAAAAUACCAAAUUGAAUUUUGCGAAUUUUCCCUUGAAUCUCUAAACCAGUUCCAGUCAAGAGUCUUACAAUUUCCUUGCUUAUGAUUAUCUAAUAUGCGUUUGUACUACUGUUACUUUUCCGAUAUAUCUAUGAUGACUUAUAUUAAAAAAACAGUCUUAUGAUUGAACAUUCAUCCCUGAUAUUCAUUACGCUGAAUAUAAUUGAAGUAAUUAUCGGUAAUAGGAAAGUCUU